CUGCAAUAAGGUUACAAAAUUUUAGAACAAUCCGUCAAAACGUGUCUGUGAUAAUUUUUUCACAAUAUUUUGUGACACAUACAUACAUAGAUCUGGCCAUUUGUUCAGAACUUCAGAUACCUAUGAGUAAAAAUUCCUGAAGUGAACACGUUAAAAAAUUUUUUCACCCAAUUAUUUUGUAACUCUGUCAAAUUAAAGUAUUAGUUGACCUUUCUAAAAUUUGUGGAGAAUGCAAGACUUUUAUGCCGGGUCUUCAAGAUACAGAGGUUUCAAAAUUCCACUUUUUUCCGUGCGCGUCAAAAUUCAAAUUUUUAUAACUUUUACUAAAAUUAAUCAAUUUUAGUUCCCAAGGAGUGCUUUAAAAAGAAUUUUUGUCAGCUUUUCAAAAAAAAUAUUGAUUUAAAAAAAUAAAAAUAUUUAGUCUAAAAUUUUUAAAUUUUAAGGUUAUUUUUUAAUUUUUCUCCCAUUUUGGCAUUUUUGAUUUUUUUUCGACAUCAUAAAUCGAAAGCUUGACUUUUUCCUACAAAAACAUAUAAGGCCAAAAAUGGGAUCGAAAUAACUGAUAGUCGUACAGAAUAUUUUCUGCAUUCGAACACAGCGCGUGCGUGCUCAUCUGCAGCAGUGAAUUAUCCUGAUAACUAUAGAUUACACACGAAACUAUAAUUAUUGCGCAUAAAUAUUUUAUUUAUAAAGUGUACAAUUUUGCUGACUUUCACACUUUAAAAAAAGACGUCUCAAAUUACAGUGAAUUUAAUUAAAAAUUUUAUUUUUUAAUAUGGGUUUUCUGGUUUCGCUUUUUUGAAGCUCAUCAGUACUCCGUAAAUUAGCCUUAGAAGUGUACCAGAACGUAUUUACAAGUGUAUAUAAUAAUUAAAUAAGUAAUUAGUAAUUACAUAUUUUAAACACUUACAUUUUCUGAACAUCUUCUUUGUAUAAGAAAGACCUUUACUUGUCUUUUAUGCUGUACGCUUACGGUUUCGUGUAUUUUUUGUGCACUUUUAAUUUUUGGGAAAACAUCAAAUUUUGGAGAUGCCGAAUAUUUUUUUAAAACAAAGUUGAAUCUUCAGUAGGGAUAAAAGAAUGAUACUUUUGAGUAACAAGCACCGUUUUUGAAGAUGCAACACGAGUACUAAGUUCUUCAGCACAAGCAGAAUGGUCUUCUUUACUACUGAAAAACACUGUUAUAUCAGUUAAGCUUUUCUUCGACCAUUGGUAAAGAUCAACAGCUGUCAAAAUCGCAUUUUUGGAUGAUGCUUGCAGACUUGCAAUGCGUGCAAGUCUUUUCAAAGUUCCUCCGAUGCCAUCUCCUGGUCCAUUUCAAUGUGCAGUGGCAUAAAAGUGCCACUCACAUAGAAUACCAAAAUCUUUCUUAUGAAACAUUAGAUCUCUGUAUUACCAUCAGUCGGUAAGGUAGAUUUCUGUCAAAAAUUUUGAGUCGGCUGGUAAGGUAGGGAACUGUUUUACCGAUAUGGUGGGCAAGUGCUGUGAACCCCCACUGCUAAUAUGCAUGCGUGCGCAUCUUUUCUAUCACUAAGUUGGGUACAUAAUGUGGAGCUGGACAGAGGAGCGGCACAAGUACCAGCCUCCUUGUGAGAUACGGAACUACAACCAGUGAAGCAGUGAUCGAUUUCUUGGACGAGUUUGCAGAAGGUGCUAAAGGAGGUUUUUAAAGACGAGAUUCGACAUCGUCAAAGGUUUUUGAGAUCGAAAUUCAUCAAGGUCAAACGAGGUGUGCGUGGAUGAGAUUCAACGCCGUCGAAAAAGUUUUUGCCGAGUGGAGGAGUGCAACGCUGUUACAGAGGGUAGCAUUGUUUAAAAGAAGCAAUUUUAAACAAAGUUUUAAACAUGCCUGGUAAACGUCCAAAAACCGUUGAGUUGGACCAGGAGGCGCAAAAGAAGGCUAAGUUGACGAAUGCAACACUUCUUAAGGAAUGUGAAGCUCUUCUCAAAACAACAGAAGACGCAGCAAGUUUAAUACAUGGUCUGACGAUUGAAAUCGUCAAGAGUCAGUUCGUGACUACAUGGAUACACGUAUGCGACAAGAGCCUCGCAACAUUAAGGGGUGUUCUCAAUGAUCUACACUAUUCUUCGGAAAAGCAGAGAUGUCUGAACCUAAUUCAAGAAUUUGUAUGCUGUGACAUAGUAGUUAAGUCACUGAAUUAAUGAUAUUAUUUUUCUUAUAAUUAAUAUCCUUCUUUUGGUCAAAAUAUGAACUUACUUUUGUUAUCUUUUAUUUCCUUGAAAUUUUAGUAGGAAAUUCUUUUGACUAGAAAUUAAUAGAGGAAUAGAAACUCCCCUUUAUGGUUAAAUGAUAUAAUGCGUCUAUUAGCAGACGAUAAAAAUGUAUGGAAAUAUAUAGUAUUAUAACGACUGUCGAAGAGAGUGUACAAGGAAAACUUGUGUUGAUUUGACUGAGGAAACGAGAAAUAAUGGAGAUGUAAAUUUAA